rnacentral:rRNA from 1 species
UACGAAGGGGGCUAGCGUUGCUCGGAAUCACUGGGCGUAAGGGGUGCGUAGGCGGGUCUUUAAGUCAGGGGGGAAAUCCUGGAGCUCAACUCCAGAACUGCCUUUGAUACCGAGGAUCUUGAGUUCGGGAGAGGUGAGUGGAACUGCGAGUGUAGAGGUGAAAUUCGUAGAUAUUCGCAAGAACACCAGUGGCGAAGGCGGCUCACUGGCCCGAUACUGACGCUGAGGCACGAAAGCGUGGGGAGCAAACAGG